rnacentral:rRNA from 1 species
CACGUAGGCGGCCUCAUAAGUCGGAUGUGAAAUCCCUCGGCUCAACCGAGGAAGUGCAUCCGAAACUGCGAGGCUCGAGUAUGGAAGAGGGUCGCAGAAUUCCCGGUGUAGAGGUGAAAUUCGUAGAUAUCGGGAGGAAUACCAGUGGCGAAGGCGGCGACCUGGGCCAAUACUGACGCUGAGGUGCGAAAGCGUGGGAGCAAACA